CUAUUCAUUCUAUUGGGGUAGCAAUAGCAUACUCUGAAUUGUUUUGUACUUGUCUGCCCUCUUCCCGGUAGGUGUAUAGCAAGCAGCAAGCUAUCCAAGAAAUCAGGCUAUGACUUAGGGAAACAGGGAGAAUAGCAUGGUGUCAUUGGAGUAGCAUAUUAUGUGUCGUUGCGGGCUGAUCUGUCGAAGGUGAGGAGGAAGAGAAUGCGAGGCAUCAUCUUGAAGUAGCUACCUCUGUACCUCUGUUCUCUUUCUUCUUCCUUUAACCGUACCUCUGUAGCUAAGGUAGCGUGAGGGUUCUGCAAUCGAUGCUCAAUUUCCAACUGGCGUGAUUUGAUGCAUGCCCAAAUUUAUGCUUAUAAAUUGAUCACUUUCUGAUCUCAUACGCUGCUCACCUGCUUGUGGUACUUCUUCGUGAAGGGCUCCCUCUUUCUGGUCUAAAGCAAGUGUUGUUUCUGCUUUCUGCUUUCUGGUCUAAAGCAAGAGAGGUCAUUGCAUGUUAAUUCUUCACAAAGAACAGUUAUUAAGAGCAUGUACAUGUUUUUCAUUUGAAUCCCCACCAAGGAGAACAUCAGUGGAAAAUUUUAGUUGCUGUUGGCAACAACUAAGAGGUAAACACAAGUAAAUGCAAAUAGAUACAAAUCCACACAAAGCUACACACAUCUAUCGAAAAAUGAUGUGAGAUGGAUAAAGAUUGAUUUUUCAUUCAAACCCUCAGCAUAAAAUAGAACAAUGUGCAGGGAAUAUGGACUCAGUGGUUCACUCACUGGACGAAUUUCCCACAUCCGAAGAACUCUAAGCCUGGUUCUCAAAGUAUUUUUCCCAGACAAAGACUCUUUAUAGGAUUCGUAUGUCCACCUGAUUCCGCCAUCACAAUGAUUCACUGAAUAGUGGAGAACAAAGAGGGAUAGUGCUGAAGAAAUUGGAUAAAUCGAUUAUGAAGGAACAGAUGAAGAUCCUCACACUAAGUUGUUCAAUUUAUAACCAUACAUGUCUGAUAGGAUGAGUUAGGAGGCUGCUAUACAAUAUAGACACAACCUGUAAAGCAUAACUAAUAGCUGGCUUUGGGAAGUAGAAGGUACCUCGAUAGCCUUCAAAUCGGUUAAAGAACACUCUAAUCAGUUGUUGAAUCAUCAUUCUUAGAGAUUGGAUCCAAUAGACUGGCUUACGUAAGUUUCUCAUUCUUCUAGGCAAAGUUUUUCGUUUUUUUGUUUCUUUGAUAUAAUAGUAUGUAGAAGGAAUAUAGGGAGUACAAUCCAUGAUGGCUUAUGGAAUAAUUGCACCUGCAACUAAGUGAGUAAUUGUAGAAGAAAAUAAAGCAGAAAGGAAUAAUGAUCUCUAAAGCAAGUAAAACUUCCAAAGAACACAAGUUAAAUGGAUUGGUCUGAGAAAUGUGGUCUCAAGGCUGUGCACUAUCCUGAAUUUUGAAGAUGCCAUGAUUUAUUCCAAGCUACAAACAUAAUAUAAUGCUUGCACAUGCAGUAGCAGGUCAAACAUUUGGCCUGGAUAUUUUGCAAUCAAGAACAUUGAAAUAUUACAAUGAUUCUUUUUCUUUUUAAAAUCAUGUUUAGAGAAACUUUAUAGUGUGUGUUUCUUACCUUUGGCCUGGUGGUGGUGAUAAUUUGUUGAUCAUAUAAUGACAUUCAUGUACCAUGGAUUAUAUUAGAUAUGAUUGGCAUUGGCUUAGUGAGUAAACAACAUAUCCAUCUCACGAAUUUAACUCUGCAAGAUCUUUGUGUCAUGUCCUCAAUUCUUUAUUCUUUUUUUGGAUUUUACAAUCUUUAAUCAUGUAGAAUCUUCUCAACUAUUCGAUAUCAUGUUCAUAUUUCAUAUCCUUAGUUAACUCUUAAUAUUUUUUCAUAUCUCUGAAAUAUAUAAUCAACUCUCUUUUCUCUAGCUACUAAUGGAUCUAAUUAAGUUAUGUAAUUAUGUGUGUCAUAUAUAUGCCUCUUCCCUAGCUGUGAAAUCUUAUUAAUUAUCACCAGGUGCUUCCAUUUUCUCUCAAAUUAUCAUCAAACUCUGCAUGAUUACUUUUUUCUCUGGGUAUUUUAUUGUUCAUAUAUUUUGUUCUAGCGAUUUGUGACGUGUUUACUUGUGAUAUGUAAAUAUCAACUUAAUUCGUAGUAGGCUUUCGCCUGGCAAUCUUCAUACACUUUGCAAACAGUAGUUAUGUAGCUUUUAUCUUAUUUUGGUUAAACAGAGGAGUCAAGAUAGAAAGGGCGAGGAGCUAGGCCUUGAAUUAGCUUAGAGAUUCCAUCAUGGAUACAAAAGCCAUCCGAGAUAUAUAUGGUUUGGUUGUCUUUCAUUCAAUUGAUUUUGUUUUAGAUUUGAAAUCAAACUAAUUUGAUUCCAACCAGUUUAAGUUAUAUCUUAAUAGUUUUUAACAUAACUAAUAGGGGUUGUGUUUCCUACAUCUGUUUCUGUUGAUGGUAUAAUUUUUUUCUUUGGUGGUCUUCCUUGAUCAUAUGAGCAGAUGAUGGUUUUGAAGUCACUUUCAAAGCUUUUGCUGAGUUCUUUCAUGGCCAUGUCUUUGUUAACGAAAAAGGCAUUAGACCAUAGUUCCCUGUUGAAAGAAAAUGGGCUUUUGGCCUUCACGUACAGUGGAUGGGAAAAAGUAGGAAUUAAUCAAGGGUCAGAAGAUUGAAGCAAGCAUUAGGCAAACAAUGGCUCACCACCUGCUUUCUUCUUCUUUUUCCAGAUUCUUAAAGAGAGCUUGCUCGGAGUUGGAAAGUGGUGGCCAUGGCUUUCAGGCAGGAGGAGGCAUAUUCUUCACCGCUGUGAGGAAAGUGAUUUUCGCACUACAUUUGUGCUGCUUGCAACGAUUGCAUUUGCAGAACUUUUCUGAUGAGACUCUAGAGUGCUCAUGUUUUGAAGCUUAAAACAUGUUCGUUCUUUGUUAUCUUUGAUACACAAUCUCUUUUGUAGAAGAAAACGCUUUAUAUAGUCUCCCAAGCUAUGUGAUUUCGGAUUAGCUACAUGGACAUCUGCAGCUUUAGUUCUUUUCCUUUGCACAACUAUCAAAUGAACUUUUGGGGGCUCAGCCACACAAAAGGAACCUUGCAUGGCAACAAAAGGAACUAAGAGAGUUCUGCAAUGCAAAAGGAAUAGUUUUGACUGCUGUCUCGCCUCUUAGGAAAGGUGCCAGCAAGGGACCAAAUGAAGUUAUGGAGAAUGAUAUGCUCAAAGAGAUUGUUGAGGCUCAUGGAAAGUCUAUAGCUCAGGUCAGUCUAAGAUGGUUGUAUGAACAAGGAGUCACUUUUGUGGCAAAGAGCUAUGAUAAGGACAUAAUGAACCAAAAUCUGCAAAUCUUUGAUUGGGCACUCACAAAGGAGGAUCUUGAGAAAAUAGAUCAAAUCGAGUAGAACCGUUUAAUUCCUGGACCAACCAAGCCCCGGCUCAAUGAUCUCUUUGAUGACCAAGCAUAAUUUAUUGAAGUUUGUGUGGGAAUGAAUUCUUUUAAUUUUAAUACAUGAUUCUUAGAAUGUAGAGCUGUGAAUUGAGCUCAGCCAUUCUCUUUUGGGUUCUGUUUCGGGUUUAAAUAAUUGAUGUCGCAUCCUAUUUUAUACAAAUUUGUUCUGAAUAACAAUAUUCAUUAUUAUUUUUCAAGAGACACUUGAAUUUCAUACUUUA